UUUGUAUAAUGGGUCAGCGACUUAUAUUCAGUGGCAAGGUUAACCAUCUAGGGGAGCCGUAGGGAAACCGAGUCUUAACUGGGCGUUCAGUCUCUGGAUAUAGACCCGAAACCAGGUGAUCUAGCCAUGGGCAGGUUGAAGGUUGAGUAACAUCAACUGGAGGACCGAACCGACUAAUGUUGAAAAAUUAGCGGAUGACUUGUGGCUAGGGGUGAAAGGCCAAUCAAACCUGGAGAUAGCUGGUUCUCCCCGAAAGCUAUUUAGGUAGCGCCUCGGACGAAUACUACUGGGGGUAGAGCACUGUUAAGGCUAGGGGGUCAUCCCGACUUACCAACCCUUUGCAAACUCCGAAUACCAGUAAGUACUAUCCGGGAGACACACGGCGGGUGCUAACGUCCGUCGUGGAGAGGGAAACAACCCAGACCGCCAGCUAAGGUCCCAAAUUACUACUAAGUGGGAAACGAUGUGGGAAGGCUCAGACAGCCAGGAUGUUGGCUUAGAAGCAGCCAUCAUUUAAAGAAAGCGUAAUAGCUCACUGGUCGAGUCGGCCUGCGCGGAAGAUGUAACGGGGCUAAGUAGUAAACCGAAGCUGCGGCAAUGUGCUUUUGCACAUUGGGUAGGGGAGCGUUCUGUAAGCGGUUGAAGGUGUGUGGUAACGCAUGCUGGACGUAUCAGAAGUGCGAAUGCUGACAUGAGUAACGAUAAAGGGGGUGAAAAACCUCCUCGCCGGAAGACCAAGGGUUCCUGUCCAACGUUAAUCGGGGCAGGGUAAGUCGACCCCUAAGGCGAGGCCGAAAGGCGUAGUCGAUGGGAAACGGGUUAAUAUUCCCGUACUUCUUACAAUUGCGAUGGGGGGACGGAGAAGGCUAGGUGGGCCUGGCGACGGUUGUCCAGGUUCAAGUGCGUAGGCUUAAGAGUUAGGUAAAUCCGGCUCUUUUUAAGGCUGAGACACGACGUCGAGCUACUACGGUAGUGAAGUCAUUGAUGCCAUGCUUCCAGGAAAAGCCUCUAAGCUUCAGAUUGUAAGGAAUCGUACCCCAAACCGACACAGGUGGUCGGGUAGAGAAUACCAAGGCGCUUGAGAGAACUCGGGUGAAGGAACUAGGCAAAAUGGUACCGUAACUUCGGGAGAAGGUAC
rnacentral:rRNA from 1 species